GCCGACGCCGGACCGCGUUGAUUUGAAUUUGGAGCCUCGUUCCCUUGCGCGGAACGUAGAGCGAGGAGUUAGCGUUCGAAUUCACCCGGCCGCCUCGACGCCAUUGGCUGGUUCGCGGACGGCGGUGGGACGCGAUUGGCCGGUGACCUCUCCCCGCCCCGCGCCCUGGUUGGCCGGAGAGCACGGAGGGAGUUAAAGAGUCGGCGCCUGGCGUGGGCAUCUGCAGGGUGAUGCUAGAACUUCCACGUUGCCCACGAGUGUAGGUACGUUCUCCGUGGCCCCAGGCCUGGACUCCUGCUUCGAGGUGGACCGCUCUGGUUUCCUGGCCCCAGACGUACCUGUGAGCUCGCCUAGGUGUGAAGGGGAGCAGAGAGAGAGGGCGCCUGGACACUGAAUGGUCGCUGGAAGUGACGUCUCUGCUGUUUCCGAGGGAGCCCGCUCAACUUUGAUCUUACAAAAUUUGCUUCCUGGGCUAUGGGAGAUGUCAGCGAAUUAAAAAUGCAAAUAACACCAGAAACUCCAGGAAGGAUCCCUGUUUUAAAUCCCUUUGAAAGUCCCAGUGAUUAUUCUAAUCUCCAUGAACAAACCCUUGCUAGUCCUUCUAUCUUUAAGUCCACAAAACUACCAGUAAGUUUCUCUUGCCUAGUGUUUACAAGUGAUUUUAAGUGAAAGUAACUACAAAUAAUUUUAAGUGUAAAUACAAGAAGAAGAUGGCACCUAAUCUUGUAAUGGUUCUUUGAGCAGACAUGAUCUGAGCGCUCUUAUGCAGGAGGUCGACAUCCAGGAACUGCCCACACCAGCACAGAAACAGCACACAGGCUUUACAAGUUAGCUGGUCACAGCUGAGCUACUCAUAUAUACCUCAGACCAAAGACAGCAGCCAAGACCAAUAUGGAGACAAACAUGCCACGCUCUAGUAACGAAUUAUGGACACAGAAAUGUGAAUUUCUUAUUAUUUUUCUGUCAUAAAAUAGUGAUACCUUUGUUUCCUUUUGCCCAGCCAUUUGAAAACGUUCAGCCCUAAUAAAGCUUGUGGUUAUUAUAAAAGGGAGCAAAGUCCUGCACUGUUGG
rnacentral:lncRNA from 1 species